UGGGUUGCGGCUCAGUGGUAGAGCACUUGCCUAGCAUGCAUGAGACACUGGGUUCAAUCCUCAGCAUCACAU
rnacentral:tRNA from 2 species